rnacentral:rRNA from 1 species
AUGGAUGUGAAGAGUGCCUUUCUCAAUGACAAAAUCGAAGAAGAAGUGUAUGUUGCUCAACCGCCUAGUUUUGAAGAUCCUAAGCAUCCUGAUAUGGUGUACAAGGUCAACAAGGCACUAUAUGGCCUCAAACAAGCACCUCGCGCUUGGUAUGACACACUUAAGGAAUUCCUGAAAAGCAAAGGCUUCAAACCCGGUUCACUAGAUCACACUCUCUUCAUGAAGACAUAUGAUGGUGAACUAUUUGUGUGUCAAAUAUACGUAGAUGAUAUUACCUUCGGAUACACUGAUAAGAGAUACAGUGACGAGUUUGGAUACAUGAUGCAAGAGCAAUAUCAGAUGUCCAUGAUAGGGGAACUGAAAUUCUUCCUUGGUCUUCAAAUCCGUCAACAACGCAAUGGCAUCUUCAUAUCGCAAGAAAAAUACCUCAAAGAUUGCCUGAAAAAGUAUGGAAUGCAAGACUGCAAAGGGUACAUGACGCCAAUGCCAACCGAAAGUUAUCUCAGCCCUGAGGACAAUGGUAAAGAGUUUGAUCAAAAGGUAUACCGCUCCAUGAUUGGUUCUUUGCUCUAUUUAUGUGCAUCUAGGCCUAAUAUUAUGCUUAGCAUUUGCAUGUGUGCCCGAUUCCAAGCGGCACCAAAGGAGUCGCAUCACCUAGCGGUGAAGCGAAUACUUAGAUAUUUGGCUCACACUCCAACACUAGGAUUAUGGUAUCCAAAGGGCUCAACAUUUGAUCUGGUUGGAUAUUCUAAUGCUGAUUAUGCUGGUGACAAGGUUGAUCGCAAGUCCACUUCAGGAACAUGUCACUUUCUUGGACGGUCUCUUGUCUGUUGGUCUUCAAAGUAG